CACCCACUUGUCUCCAUUCAGUGCUGUCCUGCGUAGAGGAGUUGUUUCUACUGUGUUCCAUUCAGAUGUGCAACCAUCCCUACACCUCCCUGCUCUGCUCUGGUCCUGGAUCUCACUACACUGGGCUGGGGUGCCUGUGACACCAAGCAGGGCUGAGAAGAUGUUACUGCAUUCUGAGUGAUGUUUAGACAUUCACACUUCAUCACCCUGUUUUCAUCUGACCCCAAGUGCUGUGGAAGGUGGUAAUGU